AAGUCGUAACAAGGUUUCCGUAGGUGAACCUGCGGAAGGAUCAUUAAAAAUUUAUACUCCGGGAAUUCGUUUCGUUUUCCCGGGUUAUUUGUAUUCAAAUCCCACUCUUUAUAAAUAUAUUAAUUAUAUAAAAACAAAAAUAAAAAAGAAAACUUUCAACAACGGAUCUCUUGGCUCUC
rnacentral:misc_RNA from 1 species